GCUUACGGCCAUACCAGCCUGGGUACGCCCGAUCUCGUCUGAUGUCGGAAGCUAAGCAGGGUAGGGCCUGGUUAGCACUUGGAUGGGAGACGGCCUGGGAAUACCAGGUGCUGUAAGGA
rnacentral:rRNA from 1 species